GAUGAACGCUGGCGGCGUGCCUAAUACAUGCAAGUCGAGCGAACGGACGAGAAUCUUGCUUUUCUGAUGUUAGCGGCGGACGGGUGAGUAACACGUGGAUACCCUCCCUAUAAGACUGGGAUAACUUCGGGAAACCGGAGCUAAUACCGUAUAAUCUUUUGCACCGCAUGGUUCAAAAGUGAAAGACGGUCUUGCUGUCACUUCUAGCUGGAUCCGCGCUGCAUUAGCUAGUUGGUAAGGUAACGGCUUACCAAGGCAACGAUGCAUAGCCGACCUGAGAGGGGGAUCGGCCACAUGGGAGCGGAGACACGGUCCAGACUCCUACGGGAGGCAGCAGUAGGGAAUCUUCCGCAAUGGGCGAAAGCCUGACGGAGCAAGGCCGCGUGAGUGAUGAAGGUCUUCGGAUCGUAAAACUCUGUUAUUAGGGAAGAACAGAUGUGUAAGUAACUGUGCAGAGCUUGACGGUACCUAAUCAGAAAGCCACGGCUAACUACGUG
rnacentral:rRNA from 1 species